AGUGAACGCUGGCGGUAGGCCUAACACAUGCAAGUCGAACGGCAGCACAGUAAGAGCUUGCUCUUACGGGUGGCGAGUGGCGGACGGGUGAGGAAUACAUCGGAAUCUACUUUUUCGUGGGGGAUAACGUAGGGAAACUUACGCUAAUACCGCAUACGACCUACGGGUGAAAGCAGGGGAUCUUCGGACCUUGCGCGAUUGAAUGAGCCGAUGUCGGAUUAGCUAGUUGGCGGGGUAAAGGCCCACCAAGGCGACGAUCCGUAGCUGGUCUGAGAGGAUGAUCAGCAACACGGGAACGGAGAAACGGUCCAGACUCCUAGGGGAGGCAGAAGUGGGGAAUAUUGGAAAAUGGGCGAAAGCCUGAUCCAGCCAUACCGGGGGGGUGAAGAAGGCCUUCGGGUUGUAAAGCCCUUUUUUUGGGAAAGAAAAGCAGCAGGUUAAAACCCCGCUGUUCUGACGGUACCAAAAGAAUAAGCACCGGCUAACUGCGU
rnacentral:rRNA from 1 species